rnacentral:rRNA from 1 species
GACGAACGCUGGCGGCGUGCCUAAUACAUGCAAGUCGAACGCUUUUUCUUUCACCGGAGCUUGCUCCACCGAAAGAAGAAGAGUGGCGAACGGGUGAGUAACACGUGGGUAACCUGCCCAUCAGAAGGGGAUAACACUUGGAAACAGGUGCUAAUACCGUAUAACACUAUUUUCCGCAUGGAAGAAAGUUGAAAGGCGCUUUUGCGUCACUGAUGGAUGGACCCGCGGUGCAUUAGCUAGUUGGUGAGGUAACGGCUCACCAAGGCAACGAUGCAUAGCCGACCUGAGAGGGUGCUCGGCCACACUGGGACUGAGACACGGCCCAGACUCCUACGGGAGGCAGCAGUAGGGAAUCUUCGGCAAUGGACGAAAGUCUGACCGAGCAACGCCGCGUGAGUGAAGAAGGUUUUCGGAUCGUAAAACUCUGUUGUUAGAGAAGAACAAGGAUGAGAGUAAAACGUUCAUCCCUUGACGGUAUCUAACCAGAAAGCCACGGCUAACUACGUGCCAGCCGCCGCAGUAA